ACUCCUACGGGAGGCAGCAGUGGGGAAUCUUGGACAAUGGGGGCAACCCUGAUCCAGCCAUGCCGCGUGAGUGAUGAAGGCCUUAGGGUCGUAAAGCUCUUUCGCCUGUGAUGAUAGUGACAGUAGCAGGUAAAGAAACCCCGGCUAACUCCGUGCCAGCAGCCGCGGUAAUACGGAGGGGGUUAGCGUUGUUCGGAAUUACUGGGCGUAAAGCGCGCGUAGGCGGAUUAGUCAGUUAGAGGUGAAAUCCCAGGGCUCAACCCUGGAACUGCCUUUAAUACUGCUAGUCUUGAGUUCGAGAGAGGUGAGUGGAAUUCCGAGUGUAGAGGUGAAAUUCGUAGAUAUUCGGAGGAACACCAGUGGCGAAGGCGGCUCACUGGCUCGAUACUGACGCUGAGGUGCGAAAGUGUGGGGAGCAAACAGGAUUAGAUACCCUGGUA
rnacentral:rRNA from 1 species